UACGUAGGGCGCAAGCGUUGUCCGGAAUUAUUGGGCGUAAAGAGCUCGUAGGCGGCUUGUCACGUCGAUUGUGAAAGCCCGAGGCUUAACCUCGGGUCUGCAGUCGAUACGGGCUAGCUAGAGUGUGGUAGGGGAGAUCGGAAUUCCUGGUGUAGCGGUGAAAUGCGCAGAUAUCAGGAGGAACACCGGUGGCGAAGGCGGAUCUCUGGGCCAUUACUGACGCUGAGGAGCGAAAGCGUGGGGAUCAAACAGG
rnacentral:rRNA from 1 species